CAAGAAAUUUGGGCCGUCGGAGGGUGGGGGAAGGAGAUUUGGUCUGCAACAAAUUUGGAGGCAAGAAAGGGGAGAAGGUGAAAGAAUUUUGGGGAGGAUGGGCGGUGAUUCUAUUGGGGUAAAGAGAGAGAGGAGAUCUAGUGUGAGGGGUGUUGGUAUGGAGGUGGGGGAGAGAGAGUGUGAGGUUGUGUUGUUUUUUUUUUUUGAGACGAGUGUGAGGUUGUGUUGUAUUAUGGAAGAAGAAGAAUUUGAGGGUGGGGCCGGCUGGUGGGGGGUUGGGAUUAAAUAAUUGUUUUAUGAAUUUUCUUAUGUUUAGUUUAUUUAUUUAAAUAUAAGGUUAAAAUUGUAAUUUAUUCUUUAAUCUAUAAUUGUAUCCUUUGUAUCAAACAAUAAUACUAUUUAUCUUAGUAUUUAUAUUUUAUUUACCAAACACCUAUAAAAU
rnacentral:lncRNA from 1 species